CAUCCGGUAUUUGUUUGGUUCAGCCAUGCCAGCAUUCGAAUUAAUUAAUCACAGCGUCAUGUGUCGAACGUUGUGGUUUAUUUUAAUCGAAAAUUAACGUUUUCACGUCAUUGGGGCCCAUGUGAUGUUGUGAGCACAGCCCCAAUAGCCUCAGCCAUGUCCGUCUUGGUCGAACCGUGUUCUGGUCCGAUAUGGCGAAAGCGUCCCUUCAAGGGCCUGGAUGGCCCGGAUGUGAAACGAAGACGCGUCGCCCAACUGCAGCUGGAACCCGAGAGACCGAGAUCAUCGGACGAAGAUACUGAGAGCGUCAGCAGCAUACAAGAGAAGGAAACCGGUACGAAAGGAUCAGCCGCUGUAGCCACCCGGACGCGGACCGAAGAUUGUAAACAUUUCGUUUUAGAUUAUGUUAAGGACGCUUCGGAACCAGAGUCCCAGACCUCAGUACAAAGUUCCACCGAUGAAUAUGAAGUCGAAGUGGCGUACGAGGUGGAAUCUAAUGGAAAUUCCAGCGAUAUUUCUUCACCUGAAUCAGAUAUGAUGGUGGCUGUGGCAGCUGCAAUGAUAUGCAACAAGCCCUUGGACGCAUGGCUAACUGAUGCUGAGGCGUCGUACUCAGAUUCUAGCACUUCAUUGGACGAGAUCGCCUUCAGACGACAAGAGUUCACCACCUGCUUGCUAUGCAAGACCAAGAACCCCAACCCACUCUACAGAUACUGUGAACAAUGUUUUCAGGAUGUCUGAUGUGCCACGGAAUGAAUCAUGUAAGACACAUGUAAUUUGAUGUGGUAACACUCCAACUGCCCAUCGAAGGAAACAGGGUUGCAGGUAAGUAGGCAGGUAAGUCGCACUUGAUAGCAAAAAGCAGCGGGGCACUCUGCCUUGUGAAGUUGCUAUAGUUCUAGUGUUGCUGCUAUAGAUCUAGAGUAGAACUGUAUUUAACAUUAAAAACACUUAGAUUAAGUGACUACUAAAAUGUUACUCUAUGCUCUGCUAUUUGAAUGGAGUGUCUAGUCAGUUGCUGAGUGGGUAAGUAAGUUCUGGCCUCAUCGGUAAAGCACAAUGUCCUUCGUGAGCCAAAAAAAAUCUAGACACAUUUUUCAACUUUCAUUUAGGAACGUUCCAUUGACUGCAUUAAAGGCACUCAUGCCAAAUGACUUGCCCUGUAUAACUUCGGACUCAUCGACAGAGUGUGGCAGAAUGCAUUAUAGAACCAUCUAUUAAUAGCUGUCUACAUAUACAGGGUGUUUGGUAAGUCGAUGUCCAAAAUUUACAGGGUUGGCAAUCAUCACGUUGUGCGAUUUGAGUUAAAGUUUCAAAGUGUGUUAUGGGUUGUGCGAACUUGAGCUACCUGCCUUGGAUUGAGAGUUCAAAUGUUUUAAAAGCGAGUGAGGUGAAAAUGCUAAUUUUUCGCUUAUUCACAUAUUUGAAAAAAUCAGUCUUUAGCAUGGUUUAAAUGAAAAUUGCAAGAUCAAACCGAUUCAGGAUCGAAAGUUUGAAUUUUGAUUUUUUUAGGGAAAGUGUCGAGUUGAUCGAAAACGUUUUUUAUGCCAUUGUUUACAGGGCUGGCAAAAAUCGGUUUUUGGUAUAAUUUCAAAGAAAAUUGCACGAUUCCAUCUGGAAGUGUAUUUUAAAGGGUGUGCCAAUUUCAGUUUUAGGCUCAUGAUCGGAAGUCGGGAAUUUGUAAAGGGUGCGUGCAAUUGAGCGACAGUGUUUAUUUUCCGUCCAUCAUUAACAGAUGUAUUUGGCAAAAUAAGUCUUGUACAAUUUCAAAGAGUAUUGCAGGAUUCUUAGCUUGAAGUGUCUUCUAUAAGGUGUGCGAAUCUCAGUUAGUUUCGUUCUCAGGAUUGAAAGUUUGAAAUAUUUAAAGGUACAAACAAUGUUUAUUUUGCGGCCAUAAUUAAUCUUGCCCAAUUUCAAUGAGAAUUACCGGCUUGGUAUAAAGUGUCUUCUAUGUGGAUAGGAAUUUAAAAAAUUUCGGAAAAACUCCGAAAAUGCUCGAAACAAUCUCGGGCAACGAAGACAUCGACUUGCCUAAUACCCAGUAUAUUAUAUGCAGGGAGUCCAGGGGCUGUUGUUGGGUCUUGAAGGUCCAGGUCAGAAGACCGAUUGAAUGAUCAGUGCCACCCAUACUGGACACCCUGUGUAUCGCAUUAAGGGCCAUUUCGGCUGCAGAAGGUCCAAUCCAGGCCAUAGACCGUUUGGCUUAUUUGUCCGAUUUUGUCAUCAGGAGAGAAAGACAUUAUUGCCGGCGCGGCCCGUCCAGAAACGGUGUUGGGUGAAAGCCAAUAAGUACAAGUCUAAUGAAAUCGCUGCCUUGAAGGCCUACCAGAGCGGCCAUUCGCAAGAUUCCGGCAUGGGCUUGAGUGAGGAGAUGUCGCCUUAUGGACUGGAGCCGACCAUCACAGUGUAUAGGUCAGGUACGUCUGCAUCUCUUACCCGUUUAUCGGCAAAUUUAUCGCAGAAAAGUAAGUUGCGUUCUGCAAAACGCAAACUUCUCAAGAAAACCGGCUUGAAAAGGGCGCGCCCGUUCUCUGAAAGCAGCAUUUCGGAGUUCGAGGUGAAAAAGCCCAAAUUGCUCCCC